AGAGUUGUUAAUUCGUAUACAGAGAUCGUUGACAUGCUAUCUAAAGAAGAUGAUGUUGGGCACCAGACUGACCUGAGCGAGCAAUGGAGCUGGUUAUUCAAAGCGUUGAAAGACCUCUUAAACAAAAUUUGGGACAUUUUUA